rnacentral:rRNA from 1 species
GAUGAACGCUGGCGGAAUGCCUUACACAUGCAAGUCGAACGGCAGCACGGGGGCAACCCUGGUGGCGAGUGGCGAACGGGUGAGUAAUACAUCGGAACGUGCCCAGUCGUGGGGGAUAACGUAGCGAAAGUUACGCUGAUACCGCAUACGAUCUACGGAUGAAAGCGGGGGACCGUAAGGCCUCGCGCGAUUGGAGCGGCCGAUGUCAGAUUAGGUAGUUGGUGAGGUAAAGGCUCACCAAGCCGACGAUCGGUAGCUGGUCUGAGAGGACGAGCGGCCACACUGGGACUGAGACACGGCCCAGACUCCUACGGGAGGCAGCAGUGGGGAAUUUUGGACAGUGGGCGCAAGCCUGAUCCAGCCAUUCCGCGUGCAGGACGAAGGCCUUCGGGUUGUAAACUGCUUUUGUACGGAACGAAAAGGCUCUGGUUAAUACCUGGGGCUCAUGACGGUACCGUAAGAAUAAGCACCGGCUAACUACGUGCCAGCCGCCGCGGUAA